UCACUGAACGGGGAGCGAGGUGACGAGC
rnacentral:sRNA from 1 species